rnacentral:rRNA from 1 species
UACGGAGGGUGCAAGCGUUAAUCGGAAUUACUGGGCGUAAAGCGCGCGUAGGCGGUCUUGUAAGUCGGAUGUGAAAGCCCCGGGCUUAACCUGGGAAUUGCAUUCGAUACUGCUCGACUAGAGUAUGGUAGAGGGAAGCGGAAUUCCGGGUGUAGCGGUGAAAUGCGUAGAUAUCCGGAGGAACACCAGUGGCGAAGGCGGCUUCCUGGACCAAUACUGACGCUGAGGUGCGAAAGCGUGGGGAGCAAACAGG